ACAAGACUAACUACCAAUUGGAUACCACGCAAUUGGGGAGAAAAAUGGGAGACCAGAACAAAGAGAGGAGGGUAAGGGUCUAUACGUUCCUGCUGGAGCACUUUAGACACCUAGUGCUUUAACAUCACCAUCAAGAUCAGCUAGAACAUCCUAGGAAAUGGCAGUUAGUUGCAAAAUAUGAGUUCAAAUGCAUGCUUUGUGGAUGGGGAGCUGCCCUUGGACAGUGGUGGGGAGGCGGUGCCUGCCAAGACAUUUGGGAUCCUCAGCCUCAAGGAGAUCAAGCCGUCAGCGCUGAGUGGGGCAGCAGGGGCUGGUGGCGACGAGUAGAUUGCCAUGGCCAAGGUGGACCAGAAGAAGAUAGUUUCAUAGAAGAAAGAUUUGAUCGAUAACAUGAUUCCCAUCAUCAUCAAUCUGAAGAGCAUGCUGAAACAGAAGCGCUGGCCAGUCCUGAAGGACAUCAUGGGCUCCCUCCAGGUAAGGGAGAGAGAGAAGACAGCCACCAUCAUGACAUGGAGUCCAUUGUCAAGGAUAAUGUCCCUGAUAACGACCUUAGAAAUUAUACUGAACAAAAAUAUAAAAGAGCAAUUUCAAAGAUUUUACUGAGUUACAAUUCAUAUAAG